AUUCGGCCACGAAGAUUUCUCAGGGACUUGUUGUACAUCAUCUCUGACCCGUAUAUCAUUUCUUACUAUCAUCUCUACUUACAGAGAGCUUUUAAAAAAUUGGAAAGUUUUCUAAAAGAACUUUAACAUAUUUCCUUAAAAGGAUUUAUAAAAAAAAAAACAAAAUGUAUGCAAAUCUAUGAAGAUCAAUCACAAUCAAUGGAAAUCUAUGUAAACUAUUUGUUAAGUUUACUUAACUUUUAAAUGUCAAUCAACUUUUAAAAUCACUAAAUUCCAUAAAAAUUCUUGUUUGAAUAAGCCCCCCUUAAUAUAACCGACGAACUUCCUCUUACAUACAGAAC
rnacentral:lncRNA from 1 species